ACGUGGGCAACCUGCCUGUAAGACUGGGAUAACUCCGGGAAACCGGGGCUAAUACCGGAUAAUUCUUUCCCUCACAUGAGGGAAAGCUGAAAGAUGGUUUCGGCUAUCACUUACAGAUGGGCCCGCGGCGCAUUAGCUAGUUGGUGAGGUAACGGCUCACCAAGGCAACGAUGCGUAGCCGACCUGAGAGGGUGAUCGGCCACACUGGGACUGAGACACGGCCCAGACUCCUACGGGAGGCAGCAGUAGGGAAUCUUCCGCAAUGGACGAAAGUCUGACGGAGCAACGCCGCGUGAGUGAUGAAGGUUUUCGGAUCGUAAAACUCUGUUGUUAGGGAAGAACAAGUACCGGAGUAACUGCCGGUACCUUGACGGUACCUAACCAGAAAGCCACGGCUAACUACGUGCCAGCAGCCGCGGUAAUACGUAGGUGGCAAGCGUUGUCCGGAAUUAUUGGGCGUAAAGCGCGCGCAGGCGGUUCCUUAAGUCUGAUGUGAAAGCCCCCGGCUCAACCGGGGAGGGUCAUUGGAAACUGGGGAACUUGAGUGCAGAAGAGAAGAGUGGAAUUCCACGUGUAGCGGUGAAAUGCGUA
rnacentral:rRNA from 2 species